UACGUAGGGCGCAAGCGUUGUCCGGAUUUAUUGGGCGUAAAGCGCGCGCAGGCGGUUUCUUAAGUCUGAUGUGAAAGCCCCCGGCUUAACCGGGGAGGGUCAUUGGAAACUGGGAGACUUGAGUGCAGAAGAGGAAAGUGGAAUUCCAAGUGUAGCGGUAGUGAAAUGCGUAGAGAUUUGGAGGAACACCAGUGGCGAAGGCGACUUUCUGGUCUGUAACUGACGCUGAGGCGCGAAAGCUAGGGGAGCAAACAAGGG
rnacentral:rRNA from 1 species